rnacentral:rRNA from 1 species
ACCCUUGACAUGUCCGGAAUCCCGAAGAGAUUUGGGAGUGCUCGCAAGAGAACCGGAACACAGGUGCUGCAUGGCUGUCGUCAGCUCGUGUCGUGAGAUGUUGGGUUAAGUCCCGCAACGAGCGCAACCCUUGUCAUUAGUUGCCAUCAUUUGGUUGGGCACUCUAAGUGAGACUGCCGGUGACAAACCGGAGGAAGUGGGGAUGACGUCAAGUCCUCAUGGCCCUUAUGGGUAGGGCUUCACACGUCAUACAAUGGUCGGUACAGAGGGUUGCCAACCCGCGAGGGGGAGCUAAUCCCACAAAGCCGAUCGUAGUCCGGAUCGCAGUCUGCAACUCGACUGCGUGAAGUCGGAAUCGCUAGUAAUCGUGGAUCAGCAUGUCACGGUGAAUACGUUCCCGGGUCUU